GAUGAACGCUGGCGGCGUGCCUAAUACAUGCAAGUCGAGCGAACAGACGAUGAGCUCUCUCCUCUGACGUUAGCGGCUGACGGGUGAGUAACACGUGGAUAACCUUCUUCUAAGACUGGGAUAACUACGUGAAACCGCAGAUAAUACCGGAUAAUAUAAUGAACCGCAUGGAUCAAUAGUGAAAGACGGUUUUGCUGUCACUUUUAGACGGAUCCGCGCCGCAUUAGCUAGUUGGUAAGGUAACGGCUUACCAAGGCAACGAUGCGUAGCUGACCUGAGAGGGUGAUCAGCCACACUGGAACUGAGACACGGUCCAGACUCCUACGGGAGGCAGCAGUGGGGAAUCUUGCACAAUGGGCGAAAGCCUGACGGAGCCACACCGCGUGAGUGAUGAAGGUCUUCGGGUCGUAAAGCUCUGUUAUUAGGGAAGAACAAAAGUGUAAGUAACUAUGCACGUCUUGACGGUACCUAAUCAGAAAGCCACGGCUAACUACGUG
rnacentral:rRNA from 1 species